UCUGUCUUUUCCUCUUCAACUUCUUUCCCAGGCUAGUAUUAACACCCCUGCCUGCACUGUAACCAGCUACUGUUUUUACAAAGGCACUUGUGGCUCUCAGGCCUGAAUCUCUGUUUAACUCGUCCCAGAAAUCAGGGACCAAACCAGACAGCCAACAGGUCUUAAGAUACUGUUACUGGAUUCCUUGAUUAAAUCAACCAGGACACACAAUUCCCAAUGGAACUAACACACUGUACUUUAUUUUUAACAAAGACUAGCCUUUACCAACUUGUCCCUAAGCAUGUGGUGAAAACCAUAAAAAUAUAAACAAACAUACAUAACAUGAAAACAAACAUCAUAAUACCGUGUCAAAUAUAAAAUACAAUCACAACCUUCAAAACUGAAUACACAGACAUUCAGAUGUAACUGGCCAGUAUUUUCACUUUUCUAAUUUGCAUAUUGUAAGUAUAAAAAUUGAUGGACUGUGAUUUCCUUUAUGCUCUUUGAUUCUUAAUAUGUUAGUGAAUUAACCCCUAGAAUAUGUUUCAAAGUUUUAGCAUAGCAAUCUUUUUGGUUAUUUACAAGUUUGGCCUUCUUUCCUGUAUCCUACACCCAUACUGCUGUUUGCAUAGUAGCCUAAAGUCCGAACUCCUCAUUUACCUUUUACUACCCUCUCUAUACAUUAACACUAG